rnacentral:ncRNA from 1 species
CUUUAGUCCAAUUUAUACAUGCAAGUAUCCGCACUCCUGUGAGAAUGCCCUCAAUCCCCUGCCCGAGGACGAGGAGCUGGUAUCAGGCACACAUCCAUUGCCCAAGACGCCUUGCUUAGCCACACCCCCAAGGGAACUCAGCAGUAAUAAACAUUAAUGUAUAAGUGAAAACUUGACUUAGCUAGGACUAAGAGGGCCGGUAAAAUUCGUGCCAGCCACCGCGGUUAUACGAAAGACCCUAGUUUAUAGAUACGGCGUAAAGGGUGGUUAGAGAUCUUAUAAAAUAAAGCUAAAGACUUCCUAAGCCGUUAUACGCUCAUGUAAGUACUAAACCCAUACACGAAAGUAACUUUAUAACAUACCCGAUUCCACGAAAGCUGGGAGACAAACUGGGAUUAGAUACCCCACUAUGCCCAGCCGUAAACCUAGAUAGAAUAUUACAAAACUAUCCGCCAGGGAACUACAAGCACAGCUUAAAACCCAAAGGACUUGGCGGUGCCUCAGACCCACCUAGAGGAGCCUGUUCUAGAACCGAUAACCCCCGUUAAACCUCACCACCCCUUGUCCAUCCCGCCUAUAUACCGCCGUCGUCAGCUUACCCUGUGAAGGUAUUACAGUAAGCGAAAUGAGUUUAACCCAAAACGUCAGGUCGAGGUGUAGCGCACGGAGUGGGAAGAAAUGGGCUACAUUUUCUAACACAGAAUAACACGAAUUGUACUAUGAAAUUUAGUACCUGAAGGAGGAUUUAGUAGUAAAAAGCAAAUAGAGUGUCCUUUUGAAUUAGGCUCUGAGGCGCGCACACACCGCCCGUCACUCUCCCCAUCACAAUUAAAUCAUUCAUACUUAAGUAUACAACAAAAAAUUCGGGGAGGCAAGUCGUAACAUGGUAAGUGUACCGGAAGGUGCACUUGGAAUAAC